AUUAUUCUCUCCUAGCCCUCUGUAUACUGUAUACUUCCUUGCUCAUUCUCUCUCUUUCUGUGACACUAUGAAGAAUUAUGUAAACUUCUGGCUUUCUUGGCAGCUCUCAAGUUUAACGUGACCUCUAAAAUAUACCACAUGACACAAAAUUCAAGGACUCCAUAACACUCCCUAUAAGUAACAUCAUCUGGCUCCCUCAUCACCACUGCAUCCACUCUCCACAGUCUGGGGCUUUGCAGCUAUUGUGUCACACCAAUCCUGUGUACACUGUACACCUGAGAAGGACACUGACAAACCGAUGUGCUAUGCCUCUGCUUUUAUGGAGGGAUUUUCAAGAAACAUGAAAAUGGCUUGGGCCCCUUUUGACCUGAGAGCCUUGGUCAACAUCAUGAACGAGCUUCUCUGGUGACUGCUCACAACUCGUUUGGCACUUACUCCUGUUAUGCCACCAUGAAAAUCUAUUCUAUAUUGGUGUGUCCCGUGCCUACAGAAUUCAUGUUUUAGAGAGCUGAAGCUGUCAAACAAGUAAUCCAUAGAUGAAAAUUUCACAUUCUGCAUCUGAUGCUUUCAAUAUCUGAAUUGUUUCAGGCAUCUCAGGGCACUGCCAACCUGGGGCUUCUCUGAAAUAAAUCCCAGUUUGAGGUUUCUCAAGACUUACAUAUUUUGUGAAUUCUGCCAACACAUUUAAGGAGUACAGCUGUAAAAGAGAGCAGAGAAAUGGAACAGUAGCUCUGAGGAAUGUGGAUCAAGACAAGUUAUUUUUUAAUGGGAAAUGCCGUAGCAAUUGUUUAUGCCAAUGAGAAUAAUUCAUAAGAAAAAGGAAGAAGAAAAAAACAAGGAGGAAAUAAAAAGGAAACAAGUGUAAAGCAGCACCAAGAACCAACUUGAGGGAGAAAGAUGAGCAACUUCAGAUGUUAAAGUGUAAAACACCUCACUCAUCUCAGGACCUUGAAGUCUAAUUCACGAUGACAGCAGCAACAACAACACGUCAUUGCGUUAAAUUCCUGAGUUCAAGAGUAUAAUCAGUGGUCCUAAGGAGGUUUUUACGGUGUUACGACAGAGAAUGUGAGUGAAAGGAAAUCUGCCAGUGGAAGAUUUAAGGAACGGUUCUCUGAGCAGGAGACACUUAACAGAAAUUAACUUUCUUCGAUUUAAUGUCAUUUUUUAAUGAUUGACUCUGUUUGAGGUAGGAAGCCAGAGGAGAAUGUGACUUCCUGAUUUCACAAAACUUCUUCCCUUCCAGCCCCGCCUGAGAUCACAGUCAUGUCCAGUGGCACAAUCAACAGCAAGACCAGUGAGAUUCAAAGCAUAGGCAUCUCUCGUGUCCAUCAUUUUCACAAAUUUGAAUUCCUUACAGUUAGUUGUAGUCUCAAUCUCCAUAUAGCAUAGAAUUGUGGUUGAUGUUAAAUAAAUAUU
rnacentral:lncRNA from 1 species